CCUCCCUGGUGGCGCAAGGGGUUAAGCACCACACUAUGAGGAAAUCCGCAGCCACUGCAGCACAAGUUCGAUCCUGGACCGGCCAGGGAGCAACCCACAUGGCGCGGCAGACCUCUCCUGUCUCCCCGCUGCUCCCCUCAGCAGUGUAUUUCGUCAGUCUGCCUGUUCUGCUACCCACUCUUUUUCUGGAGCGGGACCGGCAUUCCUGGGCAGUCAUCCACAGCGAAGGUUGGCAGUGUGAGUCUGAGCACGCGGGGGCCCUGGACAGCAGGUUAGAGCGUGGAUUCUACUGCGGGGCAGGACGGCGGGAGGAGGCCGGGGCGAG